CCACGGGGUGCUCCCUUGAUUUGAUUCUCUACCCCUUCUUCUAGGGAUGGGGCUUCCUGAGAGCCGAUCUGAAGUGAUUUUUACUUCUCUUCUGGAAUUUAGCAGAUCUACCAGGCUCCACACUGAUACUGGGCAGUGUCUGCAGAGUUCUGUGAUUUGAUCCAUCUUCAGGUUUCUCAGCCAUGGAUACCAGCUUCUGCUCUGGUAGAAGUAAGCAAAGGAGUGAAACAGAUUCCGUGAGGGUCCUUGGUUUAUUUUUGCUAAGUGUGCUGGUUUUGUGUCAGUUAGUCUCCAGCCGGGAUGUGGCACUUUCAAGAGUGCAUCAACUGCAGUAGUAUAGAUAGGAUACAAGCUUGCCCUAGGGCCAGGCAUUGGGUGAGGUCAUAGAGCUCUCAAGACAUUAUGUCCUUGGUCUUCAACUACCAGGGUGGAUAGAGAAGAACUGUCAGGUAGGCACAGGGUUAAGGGUGUCUGAGAUCAGACUCUUUUUGGGUGGGGCUUGCUGCAGCAGCUGUGGUGUAUGGGGGUGUGGUUCUCAGGCCAAUGCAGUUCUGUUUCCAGAGGUAUUAUGGCUGCCUCUGCUGCAUCACAGAGGUCACCAAGGAAGUGGGAGAAAGCCAUCAGCCACAUGCUUCACCCAACUCUCACACAGCCUGCAGCCCGAAAGACUGGUCUUACUCCACCAUGCUCCCCCAAUGACACCAAGUUUAUUUCCAGGCAGCAGAUGAGCAAGGCUGAGAACGUGCCCCAGAGUACAAGUCUUACAACUAAGAAGAUACAUCGACUCACAGUUCCUUGGCUGUCCCAUGGAGCCAGCAGCAGCAAUCCCCCUCCUUCAAAGGAUAUAUGGAGUAUCUCAGCUUUCCUGGUUAAACGAGUCAUCAGAGGUCAAGCCACUUUCAAAGAAAUUAUGACUUUAAUGUGACUUCAGAGAGGAUCUGAAUCUGUGACUAUUGGCAUCUGAUUUCUUCAACAUACUGAAAAAAGCUUUUGGAGGAAUGAAACCCAACAAAAAGAUUGAAAAUUAAAAGGUAGUACCAAUAUCAUGAUUUGAACCCCUGAAUCCAGAUGUGCCUGAUCCAUAGGUGGACUGCACUACUCAGAAAGCCAAUCAAUUUCCUUUCUUAUCACCUAAGUUAAUUUCAAAUUUGAAUUUGAAAGGAAUCUGAGAAAUGCAGUAUAUAAAACUAGUAGCACUGCUCUUAAUACAGCAUGAGUCACCAAGAAUGUUGACUUAUGUUGCCCACAGCUAUUAUAGUACAUACAAUUUUAAUAAAGGGAAAACUGAAGAUGCUAAUAAACUUUGA
rnacentral:lncRNA from 13 species